UAACAAACGGUUUCAUCAGUGGUGUG
rnacentral:piRNA from 1 species